AGUAGAACGCUGAAGCUUGGUGCUUGCACCGAGCGGAUGAGUUGCGAACGGGUGAGUAACGCGUAGGUAACCUGCCUCUUAGCGGGGGAUAACUAUUGGAAACGAUAGCUAAUACCGCAUAAAAGUCGAUAUCGCAUGAUAUUGAUUUGAAAGGUGCAAAUGCAUCACUAAGAGAUGGACCUGCGUUGUAUUAGCUAGUUGGUGAGGUAACGGCUCACCAAGGCGACGAUACAUAGCCGACCUGAGAGGGUGAUCGGCCACACUGGGACUGAGACACGGCCCAGACUCCUACGGGAGGCAGCAGUAGGGAAUCUUCGGCAAUGGGGGCAACCCUGACCGAGCAACGCCGCGUGAGUGAAGAAGGUUUUCGGAUCGUAAAGCUCUGUUGUAAGAGAAGAACGAGUGUGAGAGUGGAAAGUUCACACUGUGACGGUAACUUACCAGAAAGGGACGGCUAACUACGUGCCAGCAGCCGCGGUAAUACGUAGGUCCCGAGCGUUAUCCGGAUUUAUUGGGCGUAAAGCGAGCGCAGGCGGUUAGAUAAGUCUGAAGUUAAAGGCUGUGGCUUAACCAUAGUACGCUUUGGAAACUGUUUAACUUGAGUGCAGAAGGGGAGAGUGGAAUUCCAUGUGUAGCGGUGAAAUGCGUAGAUAUAUGGAGGAACACCGGUGGCGAAAGCGGC
rnacentral:rRNA from 1 species